GCGAGAAACCUUUACAAUGUGCGAAAGCAUGAUAAGGGAACUCCGAGUGCCAGUAUCUAAUACUGGCUGUCCUUGUGCCUAAAACGCACAAGAUAGCAAGGGCCGGGUAAGGCCGGUGCCAGCCGCCGCGGUAACACCGGCGGCCCGAGUGGUAGCCGCUAUUAUUGGGUCUAAAGGGUCCGUAGCCGGUUCGAUAAGUCCUCUGGGAAAUCUGGUUGCUUAACAAUCAGACUGCCAAGGGAUACUGUCGAACUUGAGACCGGGAGAGGUAAGAGGUACUUCAGGGGUAGGA
rnacentral:rRNA from 1 species